GCUCAACCGAGGAAGUGCUUCGAAAACUGGUAAACUUGAGUGCAGAAGAGGAAAGUGGAACUCCAUGUGUAGCGGUGGAAUGCGUAGAUAUAUGGAAGAACACCAGUGGCGAAGGCGGCUUUCUGGUCUGUAACUGACGCUGAGAUUCGAAAGCAUGGGUAGCAAACAGGAUUAGAUACCCUGGUAGUCCAUGCCGUAAACGAUGAGUGCUAAGUGUUGGAGGGUUUCCGCCCUUCAGUGCUGCAGCUAACGCAUUAAGCACUCCGCCUGGGGAGUACGACCGCAAGGUUGAAACUCAAAGGAAUUGACGGGGGCCCGCACAAGCGGUGGAGCAUGUGGUUUAAUUCGAAGCAACGCGAAGAACCUUACCAGGUCUUGACAUACCAUGAAAAGCUUAGAGAUAAGUCUUUCCCUUCGGGGACAUGGAUACAGGUGGUGCAUGGUUGUCGUCAGCUCGUGUCGUGAGAUGUUGGGUUAAGUCCCGCAACGAGCGCAACCCUUAUUAUCAGUUGCCAGCAUUCAGUUGGGCACUCUGGUGAGACUGCCGGUGACAAACCGGAGGAAGGUGGGGACGACGUCAUAUCAUCAUGCCCCUUAUGACCUGGGCUACACACGUGCUACAAUGGUCGGUACAACG
rnacentral:rRNA from 1 species